rnacentral:rRNA from 1 species
CUGAGGUGUGUAUAGAACCUCCCUUUAGAGGGAGAGAUAUAGAAGAGGUGCGGGGGGAGAGGGGGGGAUUAAUUUUUAACCUCGUGGUGGUGAGAGACGAGGAUGCCGAUUCGGUUCGUUCGCGCUUUCGACUCGUCUAGUCUAGUCCACCUCGACUCUGUCUCUAGGCUGGGCCACGUGGUCCGGCGUGUGUACGGGGUGGAGCGUCGCAGGGGGCGCAGGCGCAAGCGGCAGCGGCCCAAGGCCGGGGGUGGGGCGCGCGGCUGCGCCCGCGCCCGCAGACGGUGCCGGCCUCCUCGGCGCGCGUGCCGGUGCCGCCACGUCGUCGUCUGCGUCGUCGGCUGCAAGAUGCUGGACGACCCCUAGAGCGGCCUCCCCUCGUGGAAGCUCCUGCACGCCCGCCGCAUGGCCGCCUACCGCGCGUUCAUGGUGGGCCUGCACAGGGGCGGCCUGCGGUGGUUCCUCGUGUGCGCGGCGAAGUAGGUCCACGUCCUCCGGAUGCUCUGCGAGAGGCUGGGGUCGGCGGCGUGGUCGAUGCUGGCGCGGGAGCGGGCGCCGCAGACGGCGGAGCGGAAGAGGGGGCGGCGCGCGGCGGUGCUGCGGAGGCGGAAGAUGGUGGUCCUCGUCCUUCUCUCCAGACCUACCUCCUGCAGGACCCUUCCGGUUUAUAGGCUCGACUUCUUCGCCUCGUGCCACUUCCUGCGUCUUCUCUUGGAUAGGACCCCUCGAGUCUACGCUUCUUCCCGACUUGUUAACACUGUCACGAGGAGCCUGUGAGAAUACAGGUGAUCGGUAGGCAUCGUAGAUUUGACAGAUAUAGAAACUCAUCGUCUUCAAUCUUUCCAAUACGAAUUCUUCGUACCAAUCCUAGCCUCAAUGUCGGUACCGCGACGAGCUCGGAACGGACCACAUACAAUUUGGUAUGAUGGUAUGUAUCGAGUGUCGUUUGUAUAUCAAGCUUAUCCACGGUCCUACAUACAGCUUGGGUUGCUACAGCGAGGAGGAACCUAGAAUGGACUACUUUACAUUUAUAUUACACCAACCUUAAUGCUUCUUUCCUUCGGUACACACGUACCUAUAGGAAAGUCACCAAAGUCUACUUCCCUCACCACACCUGACUACCACAACUAAAAAACAAACGUCACGUGAUACCCGGUGGGCAAUCCGUUUCAGUACAACCACUACCGACUACUUAUAGGAAGACCUACACCGACGCCAGCUCUCAGUGACCUGAAUAGAUACCUACCUCACUUCUAAGUCGUAGGAAACAUACCAAAUUGACAAGGACCGCCAAACUCAAAAAUAGACGUGUGUCAAAAAAGUCAAAGAUCUCAGAAAAAAAAAUACGUUAUAUACAGAGAACCCGUAGUUCUUUUUCCGGCUGGAGAGGUGGCACCUUCUUUUCUUUACCUGUUGAUGAAGUCGACCGAUCGUGUUUUAUGUAAAAUGAGUUCUUUUUUCACCAAGUAAAUACGACAAAAAUAAAGGAGGUACUCGUAAAAAAUAAUAGAACAUAGCGACAAAGCGAUUGCAGAAGGAUUUACGUAUACGUGCGUUACAUACACAACUUGUUUAUGAGUCUAAUUGCGCAGCUGCAGAAUAGCAGCACAUAUACAUGGUUGUACAAACAAGCUGCUUACACUACACACGUUACCAAUUAAUGAACGACACGUGUGCUCAACGAACACCCAAUAGUUGCAAGCAACGGUACCAGAUCGAUCCGUGCGUGCGGACUAAAACAUAACAAAGCAUCAUGAUAUACCCACCUAUACAGUAAUCCCAAGAAAGCUUUCGUCGAACUGAUCUG